GAUGAACGCUGGCGGCGUGCCUAAUACAUGCAAGUCGAGCGAACAGACGAGGAGCUUGCUCCUCUGACGUUAGCGGCGGACGGGUGAGUAACACGUGGAUAACCUACCUAUAAGACUGGGAUAACUUCGGGAAACCGUAGCUAAUACCGGAUAAUAUAUUGAACCGCAUGGUUCAAUAGUGAAAGACGGUUUUGCUGUCACUUAUAGAUGGAUCCGCGCCGCAUUAGCUAGUUGGUAAGGUAACGGCUUACCAAGGCAACGAUGCGUAGCCGACCUGAGAGGGUGAUCGGCCACACUGGAACUGAGACACGGUCCAGACUCCUACGGGAGGCAGCAGUAGGGAAUCUUCCGCAAUGGGCGAAAGCCUGACGGAGCAACGCCGCGUGAGUGAUGAAGGUCUUCGGAUCGUAAAACUCUGUUAUUAGGGAAGAACAAAUGUGUAAGUAACUAUGCACGUCUUGACGGUACCUAAUCAGAAAGCCACGGUUAACUACGUG
rnacentral:rRNA from 1 species